rnacentral:rRNA from 1 species
CCAAUAGCGUAUAUUAAAGUUGUUGCAGUUAAAAAGCUCGUAGUUGAAUUUUAGGCCUGGCCAGGCGGUCCGUCUUUGUCGAGUACUGUCUUGUGUCGGGUCAUCCUUCUGGUGAACCUGUAUGUCCUUUAUUGAGUGUGCUGGGGAGCCAGGACCAUUACCUUGAAAAAAUUAGAGUGUUUAAAGCGGGCUAUUGCUUGAAUAGAUUAGCAUGGAAUAAUAGAAUAGGACGUUGUGGUUCUAUUUUGUUGGUUUCUAGGACCACCGUAAUGAUUAAUAGGGAUAGUUGGGGGCAUUAGUAUUCAAUUGUCAGAGGUGAAAUUCUUGGAUUUAUUGAAGACUAACUAUUGCGAAAGCAUUUGCCAAGGAUGUUUUCAUUAAUCAAGAACGAAAGUUAGGGGAUCGAAGACGAUCAGAUACCGUCGUAGUCUUAACCAUAAACUAUGCCGACUAGGAAUCGGGCGACGUUAUUUUCAUGACUCGCUCGGCGCCUUAUG